GACGAACGCUGGCGGCGUGCUUAACACAUGCAAGUCGAACGAAGAGCGAUGGAAGCUUGCUUCUAUCAAUCUUAGUGGCGAACGGGUGAGUAACGCGUAAUCAACCUGCCCUUCAGAGGGGGACAACAGUUGGAAACGACUGCUAAUACCGCAUACGAUCUAAUCUCGGCAUCGAGGAUAGAUGAAAGGUGGCCUCUACAUGUAAGCUAUCACUGAAGGAGGGGAUUGCGUCUGAUUAGCUAGUUGGAGGGGUAACGGCCCACCAAGGCGAUGAUCAGUAGCCGGUCGGAGAGGAUGAACGGCCACAUUGAGACUGAGACACGGCCCAGACUCCUACGGGAGGCAGCAGGGGGGAAUCUUCCGGAAUGGACGAAAGUCUGACGGAGCAACGCCGCGGGAGUGAUGACGGCCGUCGGGUUGUAAAGCUCUGUUAAUCGGGACGAAAGGCCUUCUUGCGAACAGUUAGAAGGAUUGACGGUACCGGAAUAGAAAGCCACGGCUAACUACGUG
rnacentral:rRNA from 1 species